rnacentral:tRNA from 1 species
GAUAAGUAUAGUGGUAAGUAUUCCCGCCUGCCACGCGGGUGACCAGGUUCGAUCCUGUAACA